rnacentral:rRNA from 1 species
GUUUAUCAAAAACAUGUCUUUUUGAAUUUAAUUUAAAGUCUAACCUGCCCACUGAAAUUUUAAAUGGCCGCAGUAUUUUAACUGUGCAAAGGUAGCAUAAUCAUUAGUCUUUUAAUUGAAGGCUGGAAUGAAUGGUUGAAUGAAAUAUUAACUGUUUCAUAUAAAUUAAAAAUAGAAUUUUAUUUUUUAGUUAAAAAGCUAAAAUUUUAUUAAAAGACGAGAAGACCCUAUAAAUCUUUAUAUUUAAUUUUAUAAUUUUUAUGUAGAUAAAUUAAAUUUUUAUAUAAUUAAGUAUUUUAUUGGGGUGAUAUUAAAAUUUAAAAAACUUUUAAUUUAAAAUUAACAAAAAUUCUUGAAUUAUUGAUCCAUAAAUUAUGAUUAAAAAAAUAAGUUACUUUAGGGAUAACAGCGUAAUUUUUUUAGAGAGUUCAUAUUAAUAAAAAAGUUUGCGACCUCGAUGUUGGAUUAAGAUAAAAUUUAGGUGAAGAA